ensembl:snoRNA SNORA62 Small nucleolar RNA SNORA62/SNORA6 family
UCUGCAUGUUGUUAAAGCUUGCAGUUGAGGCCACUGGCUGGCCACUGAACUCACAAGUGUAGGUAGUGUGUUACAUGAGGGGCAAAUCUUUCUGACACCACAAGGGUCUCUGGCCCAAUGAGUGGAGUUUUAUAGUAAUUCUUGCUAAAAAA